rnacentral:rRNA from 1 species
AUUGAACGCUGGCGGCAGGCCUAACACAUGCAAGUCGAGCGAGAGGCGGACGGGUGAGUAAUGUAUGGGGACUGCCCGAUAGAGGGGGAUAACUACUGGAAACGGUAGCUAAUACCGCAUACUAUCGGAUAACCCAUAUGGGGUUAGCUAGUAGGGGGGUUAAGGGCUCACCUAGGCGACGAUCCCCAGCUGGUCUAGGAGGAUGACCAGCCACACUGGAACUGGGACACGGCCCAGACUCCUACGGAGGCAGCAGUGGGGAAUAUUGCACAAUGGGCGCAAGCCUGAUGCAGCCAGGCCGCGUGUAUGAAGAAGGCCCUAGGGUUGUAAAGUACUUUCAGUCGGGAGGCGUUACCGACAGAAGAAGCACCGGCUAACUCCGUGCCAGCAGCCGCGGUAAUUC